rnacentral:rRNA from 1 species
AGAGUUUGAUCCUGGCUCAGAUUGAACGCUGGCGGCAGGCCUAACACAUGCAAGUCGAACGGUAACAGGAAUCAGCUUGCUGAUUUGCUGACGAGUGGCGGACGGGUGAGUAAUGUCUGGGAAACUGCCUGAUGGAGGGGGAUAACUACUGGAAACGGUAGCUAAUACCGCAUAAUGUCGCAAGACCAAAGAGGGGGACCUUCGGGCCUCUUGCCAUCGGAUGUGCCCAGAUGGGAUUAGCUAGUAGGUGGGGUAACGGCUCACCUAGGCGACGAUCCCUAGCUGGUCUGAGAGGAUGACCAGCCACACUGGAACUGAGACACGGUCCAGACUCCUACGGGAGGCAGCAGUGGGGAAUAUUGCACAAUGGGCGCAAGCCUGAUGCAGCCAUGCCGCGUGUAUGAAGAAGGCCUUCGGGUUGUAAAGUACUUUCAGCGGGGAGGAAGGGAGUAAAGUUAAUACCUUUACUCAUUGACGUUACCCGCAGAAGAAGCACCGCGG